rnacentral:rRNA from 1 species
CGUUCGUUCCUUUCCGUCCCGGGCCCGGGACCCGGGACCCGGGCCGACCGGUACGGGGUAGAACGUAACGACGUACGCAACCUGCCCCUGUCAGGGGGACAACCCGCCGAAAGGCGGGCUAAACCCGCGUACAUGCCACCGGGGCAUCCCGGAGGCAGGAAAGGCUUCGGCCGGACAGGGAUGGGCAUGCGGCGCAUUAGGCAGUAGGCGGGGUAACGGCCCACCUAACCGACGAUGCGUAGGGGUUCUGAGAGGAAGGUCCCCCACACUGGUACUGAGACACGGACCAGACUCCUACGGAAGGCAGCAG